rnacentral:tRNA from 1 species
GGCGCUGUGGCUUAGUUGGUUUAAGCGACUGUCUAGUAAACAGGAAAUCCUAAAUUCGAAUCUCAGCAGUGCCU